rnacentral:rRNA from 1 species
GACGAACGCUGGCGGCGUGCCUAAUACAUGCAAGUAGAACGCUGAAGGAGGAGCUUGCUUCUCCGGAUGAGUUGCGAACGGGUGAGUAACGCGUAGGUAACCUGCCUGGUAGCGGGGGAUAACUAUUGGAAACGAUAGCUAAUACCGCAUAAGAGUAGAUGUUGCAUGACAUUUGCUUAAAAGGUGCAAUUGCAUCACUACCAGAUGGACCUGCGUUGUAUUAGCUAGUUGGUGGGGUAACGGCUCACCAAGGCGACGAUACAUAGCCGACCUGAGAGGGUGAUCGGCCACACUGGGACUGAGACACGGCCCAGACUCCUACGGGAGGCAGCAGUAGGGAAUCUUCGGCAAUGGACGGAAGUCUGACCGAGCAACGCCGCGUGAGUGAAGAAGGUUUUCGGAUCGUAAAGCUCUGUUGUAAGAGAAGAACGAGUGUGAGAGUGGAAAGUUCACACUGUGACGGUAUCUUACCAGAAAGGGACGGCUAACUACGUG